UACGGGGGGGGCAAGCGUUGUUCGGAAUUACUGGGCGUAAAGGGCUCGUAGGCGGCCAACUAAGUCAGACGUGAAAUCCCUCGGCUUAACCGGGGAACUGCGUCUGAUACUGGAUGGCUUGAGGUUGGGAGAGGGAUGCGGAAUUCCAGGUGUAGCGGUGAAAUGCGUAGAUAUCGGGAGGAACACCGGUGGCGAAGGCGGCGAUCUGGGUCGAUACUGACGCUGAGGUGCGAAAGCGUGGGGAGCAAACAGG
rnacentral:rRNA from 1 species